rnacentral:rRNA from 1 species
UAGGGAAUCUUCGGCAAUGGACGAAAGUCUGACCGAGCAACGCCGCGUGAGUGAAGAAGGUUUUCGGAUCGUAAAACUCUGUUGUUAGAGAAGAACAAGGACGUUAGUAACUGAACGUCCCCUGACGGUAUCUAACCAGAAAGCCACGGCUAACUACGUGCCAGCAGCCGCGGUAAUACGUAGGUGGCAAGCGUUGUCCGGAUUUAUUGGGCGUAAAGCGAGCGCAGGCGGUUUCUUAAGUCUGAUGUGAAAGCCCCCGGCUCAACCGGGGAGGGUCAUUGAAAACUGGGAGACUUGAGUGCAGAAGAGGAGAGGGGAAUUCCAUGUGUAGCGGUGAAAUGCGUAGAUAUAUGGGGGAACACCAGUGGCGAAGGCGGCUCUCUGGUCUGUAUCUGACUCUGAGGCUCGAAAGCGUGGGGAGCAAACAGG